rnacentral:rRNA from 1 species
GACGAACGCUGGCGGCGUGCUUAACACAUGCAAGUCGAACGCUGAAGCUCAGCUUUUGUUGGGUGGAUGAGUGGCGAACGGGUGAGUAACACGUGAGUAACCUGCCUCCUUCUUUGGGAUAACGCCCGGAAACGGGUGCUAAUACUGGAUAUUCACUGGUCUUCGCAUGGGGGUUGGUGGAAAGGGUUUUUCUGGUGGGGGAUGGGCUCGCGGCCUAUCAGCUUGUUGGUGGGGUGAUGGCCUACCAAGGCUUUGACGGGUAGCCGGCCUGAGAGGGUGACCGGUCACAUUGGGACUGAGAUACGGCCCAGACUCCUACGGGAGGCAGCAGUGGGGAAUAUUGCACAAUGGGCGCAAGCCUGAUGCAGCGACGCCGCGUGAGGGAUGGAGGCUUUCGGGUUGUGAACCUCUUUCGCUCAUGGUCAAGCCGCAACAAUGGUUGUGGUGAGGGUAGUGGGUAAAGAAGCGCCGGCUAACUACGUG